UGGGGAAUUGUUCACAAUGGGCGCAAGCCUGAUGACGCAACGCCGCGUGGGGGAUGAAGGUCUUCGGAUCGUAAACCCCUGUCGAAUGGGACGAAAGACUCGCGAGUGAAUACUUCGCGAGAGUGACGGUACCGUUAAAGGAAGCCACGGCUAACUCUGUGCCAGCAGCCGCGGUAAUACGAGUGUCCCGAGCGUUAUCCGGAAUCAUUGGGCGUAAAGGGUGUGUAGGUGGCAUUGUUAGUCACACGUUAAACCCUGGGGCUUAACCCCAGAUCUGCGUGUGAUACGGCAAAGCUAGAGGAUGGCAGGGAUGUAUGGAACUCAUGGAGUAGGGGUGAAAUCCGUUGAUAUCAUGGGGAACACCGAAAGCGAAGGCAGUACAUUGGGCCACUCCUGACACUGAAACACGAAAGCGUGGGUAGCGAAUGGGAUUAGAUACCCCCGUAGUCCCUGAGCGGGCUGGCAAGGCGCAU
rnacentral:rRNA from 1 species